CUCAUCACUUGCGAGCCAUGGCCGAGAACAAAACUUUUCAGGAACCUAUAUAUUCAGAUUCCGCUCGAACAAGCUCUGCGAGUGGACCACUUUAAACAAAAUGGUAGAAACCGAAAAGCCUCGAAAACCCAAUCCUCAAUCGCCUGAAAAACCCACUUUCUCAUUCUCCCUUCGCGUUUGGCCACCGUCGGAGAGAACACGCGACGUUGUGAUUAAACACCUCAUCGAUACCCUUUCUUCUCCUCCGUUAACCGCUACGGCAUGCUUCCCUCCGAGGAGACCAUCGCGUUCGCCAAAAUCAUCGAGGAAGAGUCUUUCCUCGCCGCCGCCGCCGCCA
rnacentral:misc_RNA from 1 species